AGAGUUUGAUCCUGGCUCAGAUUGAACGCUGGCGGCGUGCUUUACACAUGCAAGUCGAGCGGCAGCAUGACCCUUGGGUUGAUGCGAGCGGCGAACGGUGAGUAAUACAUCGAACGUACCUUUUAGUGGGGGAUAACGCAUCGAAAGAUGUGCUAAUACCGCAUAAUCUCUGAGGAGGAAAGACGGGGAUCACGUAAGUGACCUGUCGCUGAAAGAGCGGCCGAUGGUCGAUUAGCUAGUUGGCGGGGUAAAAGCCCGACCCAAGGACGAUGAUCGAUAGCGGAUCUGAGAGGACGAUCCGUCACACUGGGACU
rnacentral:rRNA from 1 species